CCCACACAGUAAAAUUGGCUGGUGUAAAUUGUUUAUAGGGACUUACAUCAUCACAUCAUUAUUUUAAAAGGACUGAUAAGAAGCGUGAUGUUUUCAACAGUUUGUCUCACUAAUACAUAGAUGGGAUAAAUGCAGAGACUGAAUUUCCCUCACAGGAUCAAAAGAGUAUACUUCUAUUCUUAUACUUUUUGGCUACAGUCUUUCACACACAUUUUUCCUGUUGAUGCAGAGAUACCUCAGAUAAAAGAAAUGCUCAACAGAAGCUCCAUGCACCUCGGCAGUCCAGGGUCUCUCCCCAGCCCUUCAAACCCUGUUCAAAUAGAGGGGAAUCCAAGGUUUCAAAGGGGGGAGAUGGGGAGAAAAGAAGCGCCCUGGAUGAAAUAAAAGUGAAAGCUAUAAUGGGUAAGUUAUGAUUUUGCUAUUUGACAUCAUCUGCCACAGGUCUGUAUGUAAAGUGUUGUGAGCCUUGACUCAGUCAAAUCUCCUCAAGAACAACUUGGGGUUAAGUGCCUUGCUCAAGGGCACAACGGUGGUGACCGGGAUUCGAACUCCAAAUUCCAGGCUACUAGCAUACUAGCCAGGUUCCUUUACUGCUGUGCUACCACCACCCCUUUUGGCUUCGUGCCUGCGUCCGAACCACACCCAUAGAAAUAUUUGCAAAAAAAUGGACAAUCAUUCAUGGGGCUGCAGGUAGUGCAUCCCAGAAUUUUCAAUGUAUUUGUUCAAAUUCACAUUCGGCGUUGCAAAAAAAAAAAAAUUUGGUUCGAUGAGAGGUGGUGGUGGUGUUUGGCACUAUGAUCCUAUCUCGCCUGCAAAUUAAAUUGGUGCAAAACUGGCCGCCAUGCUUACACACUGUUUGCAGUGUGUUGCACUAGAAGAAACUGCAUUAAAGAUUUUUGUCUUUGAUUUUUGACCAGUGUUUUGUCUGCUUUAUACCUAAAACUUUUUUUCUUUAAAAUCUACCUUUUCAGAUGCUGUUAUGUCAAGACACUCAGUUUCGACUGGCCAGAUCGGAGCAGCCCUGAAUGGGAAGAUGGCAGAACUAAGACUGGCAAUGUCCAGGAAAAAUGUUCAUUAAAAAUGAGUGUUUCCCGAGUGAGUCUAAAAAAUCUGAAGUUGAAAUUAAAUGAAGUUUUUACUUGAAAAGUUUGUGUACUGAACAAAAUGCAUUAAAGUUUGUAUUUGAAAAGACCUGGAAUUGUGUUCUGUGGAAUGAGUAUAAAUAUAUGUGCAGGAUAUAUAAAAAACAUAGUUGUACCACUAAUAUAAGUG
rnacentral:lncRNA from 12 species